AUACUUACCUGGCAGGGGAGACACCAUGAUCACGAAGGUGGUUUUCCCAGGGCGAGGCUCACCCAUUGCACUCCAGGUGUGCUGACCCCUGUGAUUUCCCCAAAUGUGGGAAACUCGACUGCAUAAUUUGUGGUAGUGGGGCACUGCGUUCACGCUCUCCCAUA
rnacentral:snRNA from 1 species